rnacentral:misc_RNA from 1 species
UCUAAGGAGAGACGUGCACUAUAUAAAGUGUACUACUCCAAGGUCGGUCGAGUACUUACCUAAAACACUGUUUAAUUUUCAGGGUCUAUAAGACCUUGAAAGAAAGAGAAGUUAAAAGUUGGGAAAAGCUUGAGAAAAUCAACUAUCAACUAAAGGCUCUCAACUAUCAAAGGAAAUAUGGGCUCAUAGCUCAGAUGGUUAGAGCGCACGCCUGAUAAGCGUGAGGUCGGUGGUUCGAUUCCACUUGAGCCCACCAAGGAAUAUUGUAAAAGGUAUUCCAAAAAGAAGUAUUGCACAUUGAAAACUAUAUAAUGUAGAAAAGAGAAGAAAAGGGUAACGAAUAUAUAAGCAAGACAAUGAUCGUUAUUCUUAGGAUUACUCUAAACGACUGAGGUAAAGAAAAAUCAUAGUCUAAACUUAGCAAGUUUAGAUAAUAUAAGUUUUCAAGAAGUUGACGCAGUAAUGCGCCGCUUAUUGGAAAUUUAGCAUAAAUUCACAAGAAGCAAGCAGUACAAGGAAAGCGAGCUUUGAGGAACGGAGCAUAUGUUGGUAUAUGUGAGUACCGCAAAAGUGUAGCUUGAAGUAGUAAUGCUCAGUAUAUUGUGGAUUUAGGCAAAGGUCAAGCUAUUAAGGGCAUAGGGUGAAUGCCUUGGCACCAGGAGUCGAAGGAGGACGUGAUAAGCUGCGAAAAGCUACGGUGAGGCGCAAAUAGCCAUCGACCCGUAGAUAUCCGAAUGGGGAAACCC